UCCUCAUAGCCUCCUGAAAUCGCCGCCGCGUCACUAUCCUCCCCACCUCCGCUACUCCGACGAAGCUUCCACCCUGCGUAUUGAGCUCCGGUCACGUGCCACAGAUCACAACCAACUUCCGCGGAGGGUGACACGAUCGGACGGGGAUAGCAGUCAGUGCUGUAGCAUUUCGUAAGGGUUCCGGAGGAGGCAUGAGGAAGGGAACGACAAGGGAAAGGCAAGUUCAUAUCCCCGUGAUAAUGUGAGAUCCAUGAGGUAAGGGAGAGGAAUCUAGGAGAUGUUGAAAUGAUUACCUACGAGGUUCAAUUGAUUGAAUGGUUUGCGAAUUACUGUUUCUGUGACGAUCUUGCUUCGCCUUGUGUUUUUUAUCUGGUUUUCUGCAUAGGAUUUGGGGGUCGAUGAUUGGAUUCGGUGUUUGGAAGGAGGUGAUGUACUUGUCUUCUUUUCAAUGUAGGGUUCCUCGCAGUGUUCUUUUGGAUCGCAAUUACAGCAUCGUAGGAUUUGGAGUAAGGUUACGUGACCGGUUCAUUAAGAUGUGGAUUCUGAUUUACAAGUCGGGUUCUUCUCCUUGAUAGCUUGAGAUGAUUUGCUUGCUUCUAUUAUUUCCGAAUGUUUCAACUAGAUGUUGGUGGUCUAAACCUUGGUGAAUCACAUUUUUGUUCCUUCUGUUGCUUUUGAAAUGCUGGUUAGAUUGGAAUAUGUGGACCCAAUUUGAUGUUGUUUUGAAGAUGUUAUUGGUUCCUUGUUGUUAA